rnacentral:rRNA from 1 species
UACGGAGGAUCCAAGCGUUAUCCGGAUUUAUUGGGUUUAAAGGGUGCGUAGGCGGCUUUUUAAGUCAGGGGUGAAAGACGGUGGCUCAACCAUCGCAGUGCCCUUGAUACUGAAGAGCUUGAAUGAACUAGAGGUAGGCGGAAUGUGACAAGUAGCGGUGAAAUGCAUAGAUAUGUCACAGAACACCGAUUGCGAAGGCAGCUUACUAUGGUUUAAUUGACGCUGAGGCACGAAAGCGUGGGGAUCAAACAGG